rnacentral:sRNA from 1 species
UGCAUCUGCAGCUCAUGAGGAUGAGAACCUCCGGGGGCAGGGAGGUUCGACUCGAGCGAAGCAAGAGAACGUUGCGCCAGCAACGGCCCGCAGGGCGAGCCACGAAGUGGCGAGUAAUCCUCUAUCACCGACCA